GAAAAAAAAAAUUUCCCUUCCUUCUUCCUCCAUUGCGUCCUCUAUCUUUUUCUUCUUCUCCUUCCGGUACCCUAGCAGCCGCCCACCCCUUUCCUUUUUCUUCUUCUGUUUGCCGCAGCCGCCGGUCAUCUCUUUCCUUUCGUCCGUCGAACCCAAAACCGCCGCGCCCAUCCGCCUGUAACCGCCGACUGUCUUCCCUCUCCUUUCUCCUCUAUUUUCUGCCUAGCGCCGUGUGACCCUCUGCCCAGCGCCACGUGACCCUCCGCCCAGCGCCGUGUGACCCUCUGCCCAGCCCCGCCGCGCAACCUCUGUCUCCGUCUAAGCCAAGUCCAGCCGCACGCCGUCUCUCCAUCACGAAUCACUCUGUUUCGCUCUCCGCCAACCACCAUCACGCCCAAAUCACUUCUCCUCGUUCCAUCGCCGCUGUACCGUUCACCUGAAGUCGUUGUCCAUCCGGGUUGCACAACUGAGCUGCGACUCCUUCGCGCGCAUAGUCCUACAGUCGAGCUGUUCGCUUCCUACAGAAACUACCCGUGAGCCGCGCGCCGUUUGUCCAAGUCGGCUUGCACUCCGCUUUGUUACACGAUCUUUCUUUUAGGUAUCAUUGGGUCACUUGAAUUCACAACCAAUUUGUGAAUUUUGAGUUCGGUUCGUCAAUACCUUGGUGUGUAUUUCGUGGGAUUUAGUUGUUCGAGAAAUUGAGCAACCUUGAGGCAAAGGUAAUAAAGGCGGCAAACCGGCGAGGGGCAGGAAGGAAGCGUGAUUGCCAUAGGGGAUAUUUUAAUUUGCUUCCGCUUAAUGUUUUGUUUCCCGUGUUUUGUUUUAGUACUUGAGAUUGUUUAGAAAAUUUUAUAGUUGAACUGUAUUCACGAAUUAGUAAACCUUUCCUGAAAGUGUUGGCUAUUUUAAACAGGGCCCAGAUAUAAAUUUUUUGUUUUCUUUGAGACUUUGAAA